rnacentral:tRNA from 1 species
GGCGCCGAAGCCGAAGCCGACGAGGCGCCGGCCCGUCACGCCGGAGGAAGGGGGUGCGAGUCCCCUCGGCGCCGCCA